GCUUUUGAAGGAUAACAGCUCAUCCUUU
rnacentral:tRNA from 10 species